rnacentral:misc_RNA from 1 species
CGACUUCGAGAAGCUGAUAAAGCUGCUCGGCCAGACGGAUGGCCGCGACAAGAUCUACAAGUUCCUCGCUGGUUUCUUCAAGAUUCUGGCGGCCGUCGCGGCUAGCAGCCAGGACUCGCGUGCUAAAGCGUAUGUCGCGAUCGGCAACUCCAUCGGCAGCGCCCGCUCCCUGAUGCGCAUGGGCAAGUUCGCGGGCGAUGUGCCGAAGCUGCAGAAGAUCGCCGACGGCGUCGUGGUGAGGGGCUUCGCUGGCACGGAGUGCAAGAAGUUCAUUGAGUUCUUCCGCAUCAUCGGCAACUCUCUCUACAUCAUGGGCGAUAACGCUGCAUUCAUCGCCAAGCACAAGCUGAUUCCAGCGGAUGCCAAGUGCAUCGCGAAGUACGCGAAGACCGCGCAAUUCUGGGGCUUUUUCCUCGCCGCCGUGCUGGACCUCAUCGCCCUUCGUGCUGCCCUGCAGAAGCGUGUGUCUGAUGUGGCUACAAGCAAGAAGGAAGCCAAGGCUGCCGUCAUCAGCCUCACUAAAGAUGCCUCAGAUGUGCUUGUGACGAUGGCCGCCGUCGGCUACCUGAAGAGUUUGUGGAGCCCAUCCCCAAUCACCGCUGGCGCCCUCACCUGCGUGUCUGGCGGUGUGGCCACGUACCUCAACUGGAGCAAGAUCAAGUAGAGUGCGCUGCAGGAGUCGGCGAGCGGCGGAGAGAGAUACAAAUAUGCUAUCGGGGAAAAAACGCACAAGGAGCGAGGCCAAGACAGAGAUGGAGCUCUUGAAAGCAGCCACGAGACGGUUGGAGGGUGUGUGGUGACGCAUGGCCGAGGGAGAGAGGAAAAGGGAAGAAACAAGGGUAGAGGCAGAAGGCCCAGGUGUGUUGCACUGGCAGCAUUCACACACACACACACACACACACACACACAGUUGCGUUCUUGCACAACCCGCGAAUGCCAGAAGGCAACCGUUCGUGUGUCUGUGUAUGCUGCCACCCAUAAACCACCCCCUUCUCACUUCAUGCCCCCCUCUUUCCCUCCCUGCUUCCUUCGUGCCCGUUUGCCCUGUGUUGUACACCACCUCGCUGCUCCCCGUCUCCGCGCGUCACUCUUUUUGUCUUGCGCUCUUGUAUAUGCGUAUGAGUAUGUGUGUGUCUGUGCGUGCCUGUGCGCGUGUGUGCGAUUUUCUCUUUUCUUUUUAUAUUUCGUGCUUGAGCCUCGCACCGCCGCGGCGCCAGGCGCUUCGUCUCCCCUCUUCCCUUCCUCCCCUCCCUUCUCUAUCUCGCUCUCUCAGCGCUUUUUUCCCGAACAUCUUUUUUGUCCUCUUCGCACUCACACAUCGCACCGCUCCCUAAGUCCUCCUCGUCCAUCCCGUGCGCCAUGUGCGUGCCCAGGUGCCACACCAUCUUUCUCUUUUUUUCGCCUGUGCGCGUGUGUGUGUUCGUCUCUGCAUUAGCGAGUAUGGGUAAGGGUGUGUGUGCCGAUAUGUGGCGCCUCUGCGCAGGGCGAAAAGACGCGGUGGAGUCCGGCAAUGACGGACGUGCGGUGGGAUCUGCUUCACAUACACACUUUAUCUUGCCCACUGCCCAUGUGCAUCUGGUCGGAGGCGGAUGUGGAAGUAUAGAGAGAAGCAGCGGUGAUGGCCGUUGUGUUGGGUGCCAAAGCCUGACAGGAAGGCGAGAAAAGCCAGACCGGGAGGAGAGGGAGGGGGCUGGGCGGAGAAAAUCGAAGGGAGCGGGGGGGGGAAUACACACAAAGACGGGAUGGCAUACUCGAGGUGCAUUUUGGCGAGACGACCAAGAAAGAACGUGACCAUGGCUGUAUUCAGUCAUCCAUAUACGUCACGAAAAGUAGGUCACAUGUCACAUCCACCCCCCCCCCCCUCCCCACGUGAUGCACGCACGCCCAUUUCCCUCUUUCCACCCCCGCUGUGCGUGUCUCAUAUGGAUGGUGAAGGCGGUUAUGCUGUGCGUGUCUGUAUGUGUAUGCGCCUAUGUGCGUAGUGCUGCCUCAGACAUAUACCACCCACGCACACUCGAGUUUUGGUGCUUUAAGUGACAACGGUGAAGGUGCGCGCCACUUCCUCAAAAGAUGUGAAAUCGACGCAAAAAAAACAAAGCCGAAUGAGAAGGGGAUAAAAUGCUCGUGAGUUGGUCUUUGUUGUUACCUGAUGAUGUCUGCGCUUGCGCUUCUACCUCCUGCCUUCCGCCCUGCCCUUCGCCCUUUUCUACCCAACUUACACACAUUCCUUGAUCGUUCUCUCUCUUACUGAUUGACUUCUUUUUCUCUCUGUUUUCGCUAUCUAUAUGCCUCUCUCUCUAUGAACGUCUAGGGGCACCAUCAAC